UCGAACGAGCGAGAGAGAGCUUGCUUUCUCGAGCGAGUGGCGAACGGGUGAGUAACGCGUGAGGAACCUGCCUCAAAGAGGGGGACAACAGUUGGAAACGACUGCUAAUACCGCAUAAGCCCACGGGUCGGCAUCGACCAGAGGGAAAAGGAGUGAUCCGCUUUGAGAUGGCCUCGCGUCCGAUUAGCUAGUUGGUGAGGUAACGGCCCACCAAGGCGACGAUCGGUGGCCGGACUGAGAGGUUGAACGGCCACAUUGGGACUGAGACACGGCCCAGACUCCUACGGGAGGCAGCAGUGGGGAAUAUUGCACAAUGGGGGAGACCCUGAUGCAGCGACGCCGCGUGGAGGAAGAAGGUCUUCGGAUUGUAAACUCCUGUUGUUGGGGAAGAUAAUGACGGUACCCAACAAGGAAGUGACGGCUAACUACGUGCCAGCAGCCGCGGUAAAACGUAGGUCACAAGCGUUGUCCGGAAUUACUGGGUGUAAAGGGAGCGCAGGCGGGAAGACAAGUUGGAAGUGAAAUCCAUGGGCUCAACCCAUGAACUGCUUUCAAAACUGUUUUUCUUGAGUAGUGCAGAGGUAGGCGGAAUUCCCGGUGUAGCGGUGGAAUGCGUAGAUAUCGGGAGGAACACCAGUGG
rnacentral:rRNA from 1 species